AGUGAACGCUGGCGGUGGGCCUAACACAUGCAAGUCGAACGGCAGCACAGUAAGAGCUUGCUCUUACGGGUGGCGAGUGGCGGACGGGUGAGGAAUACAUCGGAAUCUACUUUUUCGUGGGGGAUAACGUAGGGAAACUUACGCUAAUACCGCAUACGACCUACGGGUGAAAGCAGGGGAUCUUCGGACCUUGCGCGAUUGAAUGAGCCGAUGUCGGAUUAGCUAGUUGGCGGGGUAAAGGCCCACCAAGGCGACGAUCCGUAGCUGGUCUGAGAGGAUGAUCAGCCACACUGGAACUGAGACACGGUCCAGACUCCUACGGGAGGCAGCAGUGGGGAAUAUUGGACAAUGGGCGCAAGCCUGAUCCAGCCAUACCGCGUGGGUGAAGAAGGCCUUCGGGUUGUAAAGCCCUUUUGUUGGGAAAGAAAAGCAGCAGGUUAAUACCCCGCUGUUCUGACGGUACCCAAAGAAUAAGCACCGGCUAAGUUCGUG
rnacentral:rRNA from 1 species